rnacentral:lncRNA from 10 species
UUGUAAACGGCUUGAAGUUCUUUAUGAAUCAAGCAUAUGACCAUUGCUGGACUUCUGAAAUCUAAAUCAGAUCAUCACUGCAGCUAAUAGAUGCUGGCCUUUUUUGCAGUGAGUUACCUCUAAUAUACACUUACUGAAAGCACACAUCUUCACAGCUGAAAAUAAAAAUAAAAUAUAUUCCAUUACAAUUUUGGUGACAUCUCUCCUAGCAGAUCUUGUAAGCUGUAUUUCCCAAGCAAUACCGCUUUUGAUCACUUUCUCAAUUCCUCACAUGAAAUAUUCAUUGUAGUGAAAUGUCUUAGUAAGGCAGGUUUAAGAGAGAAGAGGGAAAACAAAUACUGAACCAUGUUCCAAGAAUAUGGUAAAAACAAAAGAAGCAAAAGAAAGAUGG